rnacentral:rRNA from 1 species
GACGAACGCUGGCGGCGUGCCUAAUACAUGCAAGUUGAGCGCUGAAGGUUGGUACUUGUACCAACUGGAUGAGCAGCGAACGGGUGAGUAACGCGUGGGGAAUCUGCCUUUGAGCGGGGGACAACAUUUGGAAACGAAUGCUAAUACCGCAUAAAAACUUUAAACACAAGUUUUAAGUUUGAAAGAUGCAAUUGCAUCACUCAAAGAUGAUCCCGCGUUGUAUUAGCUAGUUGGUGAGGUAAAGGCUCACCAAGGCGAUGAUACAUAGCCGACCUGAGAGGGUGAGCGGCCACAUUGGGACUGGGACACGGCCCAAACUCCUACGGGAGGCAGCAGUAGGGAAUCUUCGGCAAUGGACGAAAGUCUGACCGAGCAACGCCGCGGGAGUGAAGAAGGUUGUCGGAUCGUAAAACUCUGUUGGUAGAGAAGAACGUUGGUGAGAGUGGAAAGCUCAUAAAGUGACGGUAACUACCCAGAAGGGGACGGCUAACUACGUG